CACUGCGCCUGCGCCGGCCGCUUGCAGGCCUCUGCGGAGUCGGAGGGGUCGCGAGUGCGCGUGACUUUACCAGACGCCGGAGCACGUCUUGGUCUAGCUGUGGAUGGCAGGCCAGUCCCUAGAUGUCAGGGCAGCUGCUUUCUCUCAACAGAAGUAAUACAUACAUGCAGGCUGGAAGCUGGUGAGCCCUGCACUACCACACCAAAACAUUUGGGAGGUCUUUAUGACCAGUUGGUUGAGGAGGAGAAAACCUGAUCCUGGCUCAUAGAUGGUCCAGAAGCAGAUGGCUGCAGCACCAUAGUCCCAUUCAGAAGUGGCCCUAAAGGACAGCAGUGAAGAAGGAUGGUUAGUGGUGGCUUAUGCAAUUUUAAAAGCUGGCAAAAGGAGCAGGCAUGUCACAGAAGAGGAAAACAAAUGCCAUUUAAAAUCCUCCAAAAGAACUCUGAACACCACACCAGCCCUGUGAAUAAUACAGACCGCACCACGGCACGGUGGCAGGAGCAGCUGCCCAUGGCCGGAGCUGCAGAGCACAUGGAGUGUCAGAAGCUCUCCCCUGCCUGCAGUCGUGUGGAUGUUACAGCUGCUUUGAUAUUCCUUUCCAGUCUGACAUUCCCGUGAGGACCAGCAGGCAUGUAGCUUACAACGAGCCUCAAGAACUGUGAAGGGCUGGACAUUUUACCCUGCUGGCAAACUAACAAGUUAGCCUGCCACCAUUCGGAGGUCUGUCACCAGGGCACAUGUCUGCAAGUGCCAAAGCACUCUGACAAGCCAUUAUAUUUGCCACUUGCAAAUUCACUUUGGAGUUGCUUAGGCCGUUCUUGUCUCCAGAGGGACUGAGGCAACUUAUGUGUUACCUGUGGAAGUUGAAAAUUAGAAAUGUAGGAAGAGAAGAAAGAUCCAGUACGUGGGUCUUUAAUUUCGUGUGUAUCUGUAGGUCUGUGCACGUACGCACUCAGAAAGCUUUCUCAUUCCUACUCCGGAGGGUACAGGGAGCUGGCCACGUGGCCCUAUCAGCCUCACAUUGCCCAGAGAGCCAGGAACACUCCCGAGCUCUAAGCUGAAAACUUGGAACUGAGUGGGCGUGUCUGAGGUCGUCCUAGGAAUCCAAAGGCAGAAAUGGCUAUUUGGAAAUGUUUUC